rnacentral:rRNA from 1 species
GACGAACGCUGGCGGCGUGCUUAACACAUGCAAGUCGAACGGAAAGGCCCUGCUUUUGUGGGGUGCUCGAGUGGCGAACGGGUGAGUAACACGUGAGUAACCUGCCCUUGACUUUGGGAUAACUUCAGGAAACUGGGGCUAAUACCGGAUAGGAGCUCCUGCUGCAUGGUGGGGGUUGGAAAGUUUCGGCGGUUGGGGAUGGACUCGCGGCUUAUCAGCUUGUUGGUGGGGUAGUGGCUUACCAAGGCUUUGACGGGUAGCCGGCCUGAGAGGGUGACCGGCCACAUUGGGACUGAGAUACGGCCCAGACUCCUACGGGAGGCAGCAGUGGGGAAUAUUGCACAAUGGGCGGAAGCCUGAUGCAGCAACGCCGCGUGCGGGAUGACGGCCCUCGGGUUGUAAACCGCUUUCGCCUGUGACGAAGCGUGAGUGACGGUAAUGGGUAAAGAAGCACCGGCUAACUACGUGCCAGCAGCCGCGGUGAUACGUAGGGUGCGAGCGUUGUCCGGAUUUAUUGGGCGUAAAGGGCUCGUAGGUGGUUGAUCGCGUCGGAAGUGUAAUCUUGGGGCUUAACCCUGAGCGUGCUUUCGAUACGGGUUGACUUGAGGAAGGUAGGGGAGAAUGGAAUUCCUGGUGGAGCGGUGGAAUGCGCAGAUAUCAGGAGGAACACCAGUGGCGAAGGCGGUUCUCUGGGCCUUUCCUGACGCUGAGGAGCGAAAGCGUGGGGAGCGAACAGGCUUAGAUACCCUGGUAGUCCACGCUGUAAACGGUGGGUACUAGGUGUGGGGUCCAUUCCACGGGUUCCGUGCCGUAGCUAACGCUUUAAGUACCCCGCCUGGGGAAUACGGCCGCAAGGCUAAAACUCAAAGGAAUUGACGGGGCCCCGCACAAGCGGCGGAGCAUGCGGAUUAAUUCGAUGCAACGCGUAGAACCUUACCUGGGUUUGACAUGGAUCGGGAGUGCUCAGAGAUGGGUGUGCCUCUUUUGGGGUCGGUUCACAGGUGGUGCAUGGCUGUCGUCAGCUCGUGUCGUGAGAUGUUGGGUUAAGUCCCGCAACGAGCGCAACCCUUGUUCACUGUUGCCAGCACGUUAUGGUGGGGACUCAGUGGAGACCGCCGGGGUCAACUCGGAGGAAGGUGGGGAUGACGUCAAGUCAUCAUGCCCCUUAUGUCCAGGGCUUCACGCAUGCUACAAUGGCUGGUACAGAGAGUGGCGAGCCUGUGAGGGUGAGCGAGUCUCGGAAAGCCGGUCUCAGUUCGGAUUGGGGUCUGCAACUCGACCUCAUGAAGUCGGAGUCGCUAGUAAUCGCAGAUCAGCAACGCUGCGGUGAAUACGUUCCCGGGGCU